rnacentral:lncRNA from 1 species
GGAUUGGCCAGUUGGGCUAAAUACUGAAACCUCCUCUGUAUUUGUGCUUCUCAGCUUUCAAUUUUCAAUCCUGUAGUGGAAACUCAGCUUCUCAGCUCUGAGAUGAGUGUUACAAAGGCUUCCUUACCUAUGCUCAGCACUACAAGCAGCCCGCAGGAGGGAGAAGUGGGAACUCAGCAACCCAUGGCCGCUGGUGGCGACACUGCACAGAGAGUCAACAGAACACUUUUGGUGGUGGACAGACAACACUGAAUAUAACAGCUUGUAUGUUUCAGACUGCUUUUCCUUCUACUGUGUUCCUGUGGUGUGAUGUUUGUCAAUUGUAGCUAAUGAAAGAAAAUGAGAUUUUGUAUCUUGUGAUUCAUGUAAAAGAGUUGUCUAUGAGCUGUGGCCUGGGGCCGAGAACAAAGCAGAAGACAAAGACAGGGCUGUUGUUAAGACAUUCCUAAGAACAGCUUGAUUGUACAAGCAGGGCUACCUUGUCUGGCUCAACACCACCUGGCCGGAACCUCCCCUCUGUCUACUGCCCCUUGACGUCGGGUAAAGUCAUACAUCAGCUGGUUGCUAUGUGAACAAAAUAAGCCCCCAGCUCACAGGAACAAAGUCCUGAUGCCCUUUUGCUAACAUGUAAUCUUUCUGUUAAUAUUUAAAUAAGCCAAUAGUGUGUCACUAUGCUGAAUUUCACACCCCUAAGCUCCUUACCCCAUAAAAACCCCUAGCUUUCAAGCCUCGUGGCCGACUUCCAUUAUCUCCUGUGUGGGAUGCAUGUUGGGUCCGGAGCUCCGUCAUUAAAUGUCCUCAUGUAAUUACAUCAA